rnacentral:rRNA from 1 species
UGAGCAAUCUGCCCUUCUCUUCGGAAUAAGCGUUGGAAACGACGUCUAAUGCCGAAUACGACCUCCUUUCGCAUGAUCGGAGGUGGAAAGCUCCGGCGGAGAAGGAUGAGCUCGCGGCCUAUCAGCUAGUUGGUGUGGGUAAUGGCCCACAAGGCGACGACGGGUAGCCGGCCUGAGAGGGUGACCGGCCACACUGGGACUGAGACACGGCCCAGACCUCCGUACGGGAGG